UACGAAGGGGGCUAGCGUUGUUCGGAUUUACUGGGCGUAAAGGGUGCGUAGGCGGGUCUUUUAAGUCAGGGGUGAAAUCCUGGAACUCAACUCCAGAACUGCCUUUGAUACUGAAGAUCUUGAGUUCGGGAGAGGUGAGUGGAACUGCGAGUGUAGAGGUGAAAUUCGUAGAUAUUCGCAAGAACACCAGUGGCGAAGGUGGCGAUCUGGGAAGAUACUGACGUCUGGAGGUAGCGUGGAAACAG
rnacentral:rRNA from 1 species